UACCUUGUUACGACUUCACCCCAAUCAUCAGCCCCACCUUCGGCAGCGUCCCCCUCGCGGUUAGACUACUCACUUCGGGUGUUGCCAACUCCCAUGGUGUCGCCGGGCGGUGUGUACAAGGCCCGGGGAACGUAUUCACGGCAGUAUGCUGACCUGCCAUUACUAGCAAUUUCGCCUUUCCGUGGGCGCAGUUGCCGGGGAACAUGUCGCGUGAGGAUAGUUUUCUCCCCAUUUCCUCACUUUGUCAGGUUCGCUUGCAUCUGUCAGUCGGAAUUGUCGUCAAGUGCGUUGGACAAUGGGUUAGUUACGCGCGGAAUGUGUCGAUUUAGACAGUGACUAAAAAAA
rnacentral:rRNA from 1 species